UACGGAGGUUGCGAGCGUUGUUCGGAAUAACUGGGCGUAAAGGGGGCGCAGGCGGCCUAGCCAGUCUGAAGUGAAAUCCCGGGGCUUAACCUCGGAAUUGCUUCGGAUACUACUAGGCUCGAGUACGGGAGAGGAGAGCGGAAUUCCAGGUGUAGCGGUGAAAUGCGUAGAUAUCUGGAGGAACACCGGUGGCGAAAGCGGCUCUCUGGCCCGAUACUGACGCUCAGGCCCGAAAGCGUGGGGAGCGAACAGG
rnacentral:misc_RNA from 1 species